UUUUGUAGCUGGACAGUGACAAAUAGCCAUUGCUCACUAGAUUGCCUUCUUUCAUUUUAGGUUUUCCUGGAAAAUGUACCUGUAUGGAUAGGCUAGGCAGAGAAUGGCAUCUCUGUAGCCAGAGGAUUAGGUAGGAUUGAAAAGUACCAAGAUAUAUGUAAUUCUGCAGACCUUAUUUAGUUAAGUUAUGACUUAUGUGAUACGUUUAGCUUUCAAGCUGUAUAUUCUUUUUCUUUUCUUUUUUCUAUUGCACUUUCAAGCAAAGCCACCAAAGACCUUUCAACCUGCCUUGUUGAAAGAAUUCUUGGUAUUUCAUUGCAGCCAAGUCUUUAAUUUUCUUCUUCACCAUGUUGAGUCUUUAUAAUACAACCCAUAUUAGUUCAUCCAUUCUUGGUGGCGCCCAAAAGUAAGAAACAAAAAAAUUGCC
rnacentral:lncRNA from 1 species